AAAAAAAAAAGAAAACACAAAGAGAAAGAAGCAGCAGCAGCACGGCUCAUGUUCCUCCAACCUCUCACGCCGACUGCCGGCUGUCGUUCCGUUCAUAUUUCAUCGGAAUCUCUCUCCUUUUUCUCACGGUACCAGUUCAAUGAAGUAUCUCACAUACAUGAUGAAUUAAGCACUUCUUAAAGGUUAAGGUAGAUAGCAAGUUGUGGCUGAACGAGGUGUUAGAAUAACCGUAGAUAAUCGUGUAUUGUCUAAUGGUUUGUAACUAUUAUACUUGUACAUUUAGAAGCUCUGGAUUAUCUUAUUUAUUCUACGCUUCCACAUACUUUGCUUAUAUGGUUUAAAA